rnacentral:lncRNA from 1 species
CUCGUUCCUGCCUGGUUUCCCCCCUUCCCUGCCUUUCCAAUGGUCUCGCCCACUCCACCCCUCGCGGGUCCACGGGGGCCCCGGCGCCGACUGAGGCGAGGGCUGCGGGACAAUCACGCUCGGCCUUCUCCUCUCCCGGGCGGCGCUCUCCCUGUGGCGGGGACCUGGGACGAGGGGGUGGGGUGGGGAGGGGAAGGCAGGAGGGGGCUGCCCUUCCGUUGCCCAUGCUAAAGGUUCCUGUGUAGGAAGCUGGACGCAGCCUGCUGGACUAGUAAUCUUCCUCCUCGCUGGGGCGCGGGGCACUGAAGGGAGGGAGAGACUUUCUCCUCCUUCCUGUUCCCCGGGACAGCUGUGCUCUCCGAAUCCUUCCCUUCUUCCCAGCCCACUUAUUCCCCGCUCGCCAAGGCACGUUUGCACAGGCAUUUUUCCUGCUCUUUUUUCUGGGAGGGCAGCUUGGUAGAAUGGUCGGCGGAGCUGGGCGAGGAGAGGGGUCUUCAGAAGGUUUGCUUUCUUGCUCUUGCUUCUCACUGGCCGCUGGGCUGUCCACUUUCCGCGCCGGGCGACUGGCAACAGGAGGCCAUGGAUUUCCCCCAACGACAUCUUCAACUAAAGAUGUCAAAGCACAAGCUCACUUCCCACGGAAGGUAGCAAUUACUAUUAUCUACUUGACAGCUACAAGAACCUAGGCACAGAGGUUAAGUGCUCUGCAAAUACUACCAGCCAGUGGUGGUUUUCCUGCCAGAACCAAGUUCUUGCCUUCCAGUGGACACCAUUGAUCUCUCAAGAUGAUUCUUUAAGUUAAAAAGCACGAAUCACAAAGGGCCUCAAAACCACAUUAAAAUUUAAGAUUGAUCUGCUCUUCUGCUUCUGAAUGUGAGAGCCUAUACUGGAUCUCUGAAGAAAAUAAAGAUGAGAUGAGGUUCUGAUCCCUUGGACUUCAUGAAGUUACGUGACAGAAAGUAUGAUUGUCUAGCCGAUACUUGACUGUGUGAAACCUUCAUCUACUCCGGAAUCCUGAGGCACAGACUCAGAGGCCCUCUGACUCACGAUUAGGGUUGUCAGGGUGAUGCAACAGCAAGACCAUAGCCUUUGGUGUCGGAAUACCAAGUUUUGAAGCUCAGUUUCCCCACUCACUAAUUUUCAGUGAGCACAUACAUAAUUUGAAAUCUGAAAAUGGACAAUAAUGCCUACCUACUUCAAAAUUUGGUUUGAGAAUCAAGUGAAAUAUUAAUAUAUAUGUAAGCAUUUUAUGAACAAGGAAGCAAGUUAUAAAUGCAUUAUCUUGUUAAUUUAGUCAUUUCACUAGGGGUGGGUCCAAUGUGGGCCUCCUUUGAGGUAGAC